rnacentral:pre_miRNA from 1 species
AAAACAAAAUUUCAGCCAUUUCUACUGUUAAAAACUGGGGGACUCUCGGAAUAACCAGAGGAUUACACGUGGCGCCACGUGUAACUCAUGUUAAGGUAUAGGGAUCAGUUUUUAAUCAUAGAAAUGGAUGGAAUUUUUA